GAUAAACGCUGGCGGCGUGCUUAACACAUGCAAGUCGAACGAAGUUUUUCUUUCGGGAGGAACUUAGUGGCGGACGGGUGAGUAACGCGUGGGUAACCUGCCCUGUACAGGGGGACAACAGCUGGAAACGGCUGCUAAUACCGCAUAAGCCCUUAGCACUGCAUGGUGCAUAGGGAAAAGGAGCAAUCCGGUACAGGAUGGACCCGCGUCUGAUUAGCCAGUUGGCAGGGUAACGGCCUACCAAAGCGACGAUCAGUAGCCGAUCUGAGAGGAUGUACGGCCACAUUGGGACUGAGACACGGCCCAGACUCCUACGGGAGGCAGCAGUGGGGAAUAUUGCACAAUGGAGGAAACUCUGAUGCAGCGACGCCGCGUGAGUGAAGAAGUAUUUCAGUAUGUAAAGCUCUAUCAGCAGGAAAGAAAAUGACGGUACCUGACUAAGAAGCACCGGCUAAAUACGUG
rnacentral:rRNA from 1 species